CCUCCCACCCCUACCCCCCUACUCCGAGACAGGGUUUCUCUGUAUGGCCCUAGCUAUCCUGGAACUAGCUCUGUAGACCAACUGGCCUCCACUGGCUGGCCUCCAACUCACAGAAAUCCACCUGCCUCUGCUUCCCGAGUGCUGAGAUUAAAGGCAUCCGCCACCACUGCCAGAAACUUCUGAUGUGGGUUUUUAUCUUAUUAAUAUGAAGUCUUUUUUGGUUUUGGUUUCAAAAUCUUUUUUCUUUUUUUGAGACAUGGUCUCAUGUAUUCUAGGCUGUCUUUAACUCUUACAGUUAAGAGUUCUUCAAGGGGGUUGGGGAUUUAGCUCAGUGGUAGAGUGCUUGCCUAGCAAGUGCAAGGCCCGGGGUUCGGUCCUCAGCUCCGAAAAAAAAA
rnacentral:lncRNA from 1 species